GACGAACGCUGGCGGCGUGCUUAACACAUGCAAGUCGAACGGAAAGGCCCUGCUUGCAGGGUACUCGAGUGGCGAACGGGUGAGUAACACGUGGGUGAUCUGCCCUGCACUUCGGGAUAAGCCUGGGAAACUGGGUCUAAUACCGGAUAGGAGCCAUUCUUAGUGUGAUGGUUGGAAAGUUUUUUCGGUGUAGGAUGAGCUCGCGGCCUAUCAGCUUGUUGGUGGGGUAAUGGCCUACCAAGGCGGCGACGGGUAGCCGGCCUGAGAGGGUGGACGGCCACAUUGGGACUGAGAUACGGCCCAGACUCCUACGGGAGGCAGCAGUGGGGAAUAUUGCACCAGGGGCGCAAGCCUGAUGCAGCGACGCCGCGUGGGGGAUGACGGCCUUCGGGUUGUAAACUCCUUUCGCUAGGGACGAAGCUUUUUGUGACGGUACCUAGAUAAGAAGCACCGGCUAACUACGUG
rnacentral:rRNA from 1 species